UUUCUGUUCUUGCAUGGGCCUUUUGCGUU
rnacentral:piRNA from 1 species